CACGGCGGGGCGCUGGAGAGCACGGAACAAGUGCUUAAAUGAGAGUGAAUAGAUGAACAUCUUACGCACUUAUCCCUUUUACUUCUGCUUUUUUCUCUUUGGGCCACUAACCUGUGGAAAAAAAAAACCCUAAUGUUUCUUCCUCCUUCUGUGAUCUUCCUUCUUUCUGUUUUGAGCAGCUUCUUGGUCUGUGUCCUCUGCGGAUGACCGGCACAAAGCUCUCCGCCAAAGCCUGCUUUCUCCCUCAUGGUGGAGAGGGAGCUGUGUGACUGGCCCAGUGCCGCAGCCAUCCACCCUCUGCGGAUCAGUUGUUCCUUCCUUGGCUCCCAGAGGAAUCCUCCCUCCUCCCACAAACAACUCCAGAGCCCAAGACGGUAAGCUCCAUGAAAGUGGAAUUUUUGUCUGUUCGUUCACAGCUGUAUCUCUAGUGCCCUGGGGAGAGCUUCGUGCAUCGCGGUGCACAGGCUGCAUUUGUGGAAUGAAGAAUGGAGAGCCCUGGGCUCGUCGUUCAGGGCCAGUCUCUGACUUGAUGACCAUCCUCCCGGAACUCUCCUCUCUCUUGGGAAGUGAAUUCUGAACAGAGACGCACUCCCUGCAGCUGGCAGCCUGUCCGAUUACAGAGUGACAUGCACAAGACAGACACUCGGGCAUGUCAGCCCUGGAAGUAGCCACCUGGCACUUCAUCCCAGCCAACCAAGGAAGCUCCUGUCCUGCCAUGUCUUUCCAUGAAAUGUCCCUUUACCUCUGGCAGCUGCCACUGCCCCAUGCUUGGGCCUUUCCCACUCCAGGUAAGACCUGCACGCCACCCUCACACAGUUCCUUCCCAGAACACCAGGUCAACCAUGCCACUCUUGCUCAAAAACUUUUAAGGACAACCUCAUUAUUAAAGGAGUGGAUUUUGUGGCUAAAAUGCAAGUCUCCUAACAUGGCAUGAAAGGCCUUUCCAGUCUAGCCCUAUCUUACUGCUGUCUCCUAAUUCCUGCUAACCUUCAGCUGCAGGCACAGCCAAGUCCUGCUGUUGUUGCUCUGGUAAGUCUAGCGUGUGUCUCUUGCAUUUCCACCCAUGUAUCUGCUCAUGUUGGUUUCUUCUUCCAUUCCGUGCCCUGAAAAGCCCACUUCCUUCUUUGUAAACUCUUAACAAAACAAAACAAAACAACUAGUUGGGCAUGGUCACUCACGUCUGUAAUCCCAGAACUUUGGGAGGUU